ACCGCACUUUUAUCGAGUGCUAGUGCGAUAAAGAAGGGUAAAGAAGGCCGUUUUAAUAAUAAUUCAACCACUGAAAUCACACGGACCAGAUUUGGACAAUGACUUGAAAGCUAAGACAUUCGCAGUAGGCUCUACAGGAGAGAGGGAGACCCAAAACCACCUGGAGUCAUACUGAGCCUCGAGGAGGAGAUGAAGUCAGUGAACAUGACCUGGGGUACCGGGCGGUAGUUUCCAGAAGAAGGCCCAGCUCAGAACCGCCAGGACUCAGGAGUGGAGAUCCGAAUACUUCGUUGCUGCCCUCCAUAUGAGGAGGCUGUAAGUUAGAUACAUCGCAUCUACCAGCAAAGAACGUGUGCCAGUACAGGGAAGGAAUGUACCUGUCGCACGUGAACUCUUCAGAGGCAGUGAGGACAACAAGAUCUGCAAGCAAGUGAUCCUUUUUAUACAUCGCAUCUACCAGCAAAGAAUGUGUGCCAGUAGAGGAAAGGAAUGUACCUGUCGCACGUGAACUCUUCAGAGGCAGUGAGGACAAGAUCUGCAAGCAAGUGAUCCUUUUUAUACAUCGCAUCUACCAGCAAAGAUCAAGUGCCACUACAAGAAAGGAAGGUACCUGUUUCACGUUUCCUCUUCAGAGCCAGUGAGGGCCC